UAAAACAUCGAAUAUUGAAAUACGGAAAUCAUCCUGCACAUCCCUACACCCAUCCUGAAACACUCCCUAACGCACCGUUGACAUCGACUGUCAACGCGACAGUUCACUACCACUGCAUCACUGAUCGUCGACCACCACCACCAUCACGGACGAACGGUAAAAACUACCGGACAACGAGUCGACGAGCUCUCUUGGAGGGACCCCAUUAAGUGACCGCCAAUAACAAAAAAACCGCGUGUGCUCAGAAAGUGCUUUGCGGACGCUGACUAGAAGGUUCCGUGGUGCCACCGGGCGUGAUAAGUGGCAGAAGCAAGUAAGCUAAUCAGCCGGAGUGCCACGUCAUCGCCAGGCCCGGCCGAAGUUAGUGGAAAAAAACGAUUGGUGGGCAUUUCAGUCCCGGAAAGCAUUCAUUCGUCGGAAAACGUGUGCUCGUCAUUAAGUGAACCAUAUUGGAUCGGUUGCCACCGCCGAGAGAAAGCUUGCAGGAGUGUCAUCGGAGAAGGGUAGGAGUAAAACCUCGUGUUUCGGGAAGUGCCACGCCAUUAGUCGCCGGAUUUCAAGAAAAACCACCGUUCGCAGCGCCGGCGUGCCCUAGGAUUUGGUUAACCAACCCACCGAAGAUCCGGGCACGAUGAAGUGUCGAAGCACCAUACCACCCCCGGGGAAAAUCCUGCAAGUCCGGGCAGCGUCAACAAGAAGAGGUUAACGGUAUGUGAACCAUUCCUUUAUACACCUUUCCUACGAAACAGAACAUGACUCAAUUGAGAUAAUAAUUUAAAUAUAAAAUGUAAAUUCAACUAA